rnacentral:lncRNA from 9 species
GUAUCAUUUCAAGUUAUAGUCUUUUCUAGAUAGGUGCUCAGAAGGGAGACUGCAGGAUCAUAUGGUGAGCUGAUACAUCCCUGCAGUUUUGAUUUGCAUUUCUCUAAUUAGUACUGGUGUGGAGCAUCUUUUCGUGUGCCUGUUGGCCGUCCGUAUGUCUUCUUUGGAGAAAGGCACUGCGCUCACCUUUUUUACAUUCUUCAUAUAAUUGAUACACAUAGCAGCCCACCACUGGUAUGUUAGUCUCACUUUGAAGAUGGGGAACCACUGCUUGGGGGACUUCCUUACCUAGGAUCACAGCACAGGUAAUCCUCUUCUUUUCUUUCUGGUUCUGAGGCAUGUGGAGCCCCAGCUGGUCAGGUGGCAGUCUCAGCUGCCAAAUCAGUGGAACCACUGUCGGGUCCCCUGGGAAAGCAUCCCUCCGCUAAAUAAAACAAAAUCUCCUAGAAGACCUGAAGUUUGGGGCAACAGGCAGAAGCAAAAAGGUCUCGAAGUGCGUGAUUGGAUGUAAUUGUGAGAUUCCUGACCCAUGAAUACUGGCUAAGGCAGAAACAGCACUAUUUGAUGAAACCCAGUGGACUAGCACGGCCACGGCCGUUGCCUGGGAAGGACUUCCAAGAGCUACACGUUCAAACAGAAGCUGCCUCUCUCUGACUUAAAGGUGGUCUCCUGUGACAAGGACGAGGACGGUGAUUUCAUCAUCAGUCAAGGAAGCGCUGUCUUGUGCAUGAUGGCCUCUAACCCUUGUGUCUCCGGGUUUCCGUGAGUGCCACCACAUUCACUUGCAGGUUUAUAGCACAGUAUCCUCAGGAAGGCCCCAGCCCUUCAUUAACUCACUGCUCUUGCCACAAACAGAACGUGACAAUGUCUCUUGCAGAAUCAACAAGGGAGGUUCUGCAGUAUUAGCAGAGAGCGACCUCAGAGUCUCCUGUUGCUUUUUCCUGCAUUUCAUCCAAAUUAGUUGCUUUUAAAGAAUAAGAAUGUUGUGACUAAAGAUAAGAGGAAGAGAAACAGCUGAUUUUGGUAAGUCACUACCAAUGCUAGGACUCUGACUACCUAGUUGUUUUAUUUCCCUCUAAGGGGCUUAUUACACAAAUACUAGUAUUUCUUUUCCUUCGGCACGUUUGUGAGCCUGUAACCCAUGAGUAAGUGUGUCACGUAGGAGGUUUAGCACAGAAACCGUCACAGUCAUCGUCCUGAUCUCUCAGGAGAAGAUCCGGAGCAGCCUGGGGCUUCUGCCAACAAGAGGGGGAUGGGGGUUUCUUUCCUGAUCACACGUCAAGCCUCUAGAAAGCCCUUUGCGGACCCGGGAGGCUUAGGUAUAUACAAGUGCUGGGAGGCCGACGAUGCCGCCUCGAGCGCUGUCAUCAUUAGGCCUUUUGCUUUAGGAAUCAGUGUCCAUGGCCGUCGUGUCAGAUGGACAAGAGCCUCAGAAAGGGGCUUUGUUCCUCCUUGUGGGACAAGAAGGUCAUGUCCAAAGCCCAUUUUGUCUCCCACAUUCUUUGUCCCGUCGACCCUCAUAAUCCACGCACGGUGCUGGCUGCCCUUCCUGCUCCCGCUGGUGCAGAGCCGGGCAGCUCCACCCCAUGACGUGCUGUGGGCCGAGCCUGGCACACGAAGUGUGCGAAAACGUGUUGUGUUGAAGCAAAUCGAUUCUUCCAGCUCUUUCAAGGCGAUUCCUCUGACGCCUCCUUCAGUCCCCUCACCAUCCAAACGCACUGUGCUCUCUGUCGCCUGGCAGGAGCCAUCUGACAUAGACACCCAGGGGGACAGCGCUCGGCCUCCUGCAUCAGGUGCCUGACACCUCAAGGUCACCCUUUUAGGCGCCUUCUCCACAGGAGGGGUGCCGGCAGGGACCCUGGCACUGCUGGAGAGAGCGGGUGGAGGGGACGGCUGGGUGCAGCCCGCCUGCCAGGUCCCUCCCUGAGGGGACGUGGACGCGGCCUGGCAGCUGAAGCCCAUGAGACGUCCUUAGAAUCCCGGGUCUGUUUUCCUGCCUCUUUUCCAUGGGCAGCUUCCCCCCGGUUCCCACCUGGUGAGGAAAUAGCUCGUCCCUGCUGUCCAGAGUGGUGAGGGGGGUCAGGGGGUUCCUGCCGCACGUACUUGUGAGGACUGAGCAGUGAGGCAGCUCAAAUGAAAUUCCAAGCCCUCAGCAGAGGCCGUGCAAAUGCCGGCUGGUUUCUGUGUGUUCUCGGUGGGAAGAGCCAGGUCAGUGUAGACGGGCUCAUGGCCAAGGUGAUCGAUAAGAUUAGAGUUGGCCCCUCAGAGUUCCUGUUGCGGCUCAGCGGUAAUGAACCUGCCAAGCAUCCAUGAGGACGCAGGUUCAAUCCCCAGCCUCGCUCGGCGGGUUAAGGAUCUGGCGUUGCCGGGAACUGUGAUGCGGAAUUGGCCCUCACAGCGCCCACCUCAGUCUCUUGGGUGUGACUUCGGCAACUUCCCAACAACCCCCGACUUGCUUCAGCUUGUCCUGGCCGCCACUUAGUGGCAAAGUGUGGAGAGCGGUUUUGUGGUGCAGAGCAGUGACACAUGCCUGCAGAGGGGGCCAGGAAGAGGGUGCCCUUUGCGUCCACGAAGGGACCAUUUACCCCUGAGAAGUUCAGAUCCCACAUAAGGACUGAGAUGGUCCCUGGGCAUCACGGUGAGGAAAGAGCGACCAAGUUUGUAGCCUCAGGCUUGGGGCUCAGGCAGGAAAGGGCUGGUGUUGUGUCACCUUCCUUUCCUGGCUGCAAUACUCUAGAAAAAAAAAUGGUGUGUAUUUUAUCCUUGUAGUAGAUAGCCAUGGUCCUAUAAACUUCACAGGAUCCGCUCACGUAUACAAGCUAGGAGCUGGGGUUCGUGUUUGUGACACACUCCCUGGGAGGCGUCUUAGAAUAAUACUAAUAGCCACAGCCAACGGUUACACGGCGCUUACUCCAUGCCCAGUGCCCUUCUAAGCACUUGCUACGCAAUAAACACUACUCUUCCCUCUGACACAGAUGCCCCUCUCACGUGAGCUAAGAGUCUUUCCAGCUAGGCGUCACAAACGGAUUUUCUUUUUCCAGAAUAGUUUCCACACACACACACACACACACACACACGAUGACUUCUCUUACUAAUAUUGGAAGUCCCAUCCCAUCAGUGUCAGGUGACCAAGUGCCCUCUGUGUCGUGCUGGACUGGGGGUGGUGCCUGAGGGUAGCUGUGCCCUUUGACCAGUAUCCCAGCGUGGUCACUGGGAUAUUAUGAAAUCUUAAAUUGCUCUUUUUGGUUCACCCAGAUGAAUUCCAUGUAUAUUACCAGCAUGGGCCAGCCAGCAUAUGCAGCGCUUCUGUUCAUGAAAAGGAACUUCUGGACACCACGUCGUUAGGAGAAUUAAAUGAGUUAAUGCAUGUAAACCUCCUAGCACCGAGCCUGCUGCGUGGUUGUGCUCAACAAAAGUGGAGUUUUUCACAUCAGUGAUAGGGAAGGACAUUCCAGCCCAAGGAACAGCAUAUGCGAAGGCCUGAAGGAGAGGUUGGGUGGUCUGCAAACAACGAGGGUGUGUUGGUCAGCUUGGGCUGCGUAACAAAGUACCACAGGCUGGGGGAUCACACAGCAGAGACUUAUUCUCUCACAGUUCUGGAGACUUGAAGUCCAAGAUCAAGGUAUUGGCAGGGAGGGUCCUUCUGAGGGCUGAGGGAAGACCUGGUCCAGGCCUCUCUCCAAAAGAGAGAGAGGUCUGUCUGUGGGUGGCCAUCUUCCCCGGGUCCUCACAGCCCCUUCCAUCGCUGUGUAGCUCUGUGUCCAAAUAUCCCCCUUUUUUAUAAGAACAUCAGGCAUAUUGGAUUACGGCCCUUUUUAACUUGAUCACCCCGUAAAGACAUUAUCUUCCAAAAAAGGCCACAAUCUGAGGUACUAGGGAUUAAGUCACCAGCAUAUGAAUUUGAUGGAGUGGGGGGUGGUGGGGGGAGCCGUUCAACCUGUAACCAAGAGGUAGGGAUCCCUGGGGGACAGUGGGAGAGCCGCUGGGGGGAGGGGCAGGCCCAGUGGGCAAAUGAGACAAAAUAACCCUGAAAAGGUGGUGGGAGAUCACAUCCUUCAGUGAACAUCGACCUGCCACCAGCACUGGGCUAAGGAAAGUCAGAGGUAGACAAGGCGGCCCCGGGAGCCGCGAGCCUGGCGAAGACCACCCGAGUGGUGGGCUGCGUGGGCCAGUGGAGGCGGGGGAAGCGCCGCGAAGGGAGCCUCUCAGCCAGGGCUGCCUGGCGUGGACCAGAGGGGUUGGGCGAGGAUACCCCCAAGUCCCGAAACUGGGCUGGAGGAGAGGAGCAGCCCCAAGGCCAGGCUGUCCUCCGUGCUGUGCUGGUCACUUCAGGAGCAGAACUGCUCUGUGCUCCAGCCCCUGCGUGCGGCACCAGCUCUGCAGCAGGCACCACUGGACCUCUGAGGGAUAAUGGAACUGGAUCCAGUAGGAGAAGACAGACGUGGAUGUGAGACGUAGAACGUGGAGCCCCAGUUGGCAGGUCUCAAGAGGAUGGGCGGAUGGGCAAGUCCCAAGAAGGGCAGCGCGUUGGCUUCCUGAGGCUGCGCUACCGAAUCAUCACAAACUUGGUGGCUUUGAAACAACAGAUCUGUAUUCUCUCACCCUUCUGGAGGCCAGAAGUCCAAAAUGACCAUGUGGGCAAGGUCAGUGGCUCCUGCAGGCUCUGAGGAAGACCUGUGCCUGCGGCUACUUCGGUCCUUGGUGCGCCGGCUCUGGAGGCAUCGAUUUCAGCCUCCGCCUCCGUCCUCCCGUGGCCUCCCCUCUGUGGCUGUGUGUCAGCUGUCUCUUGUAAGAACCCCCUUCUCUGGAUUUAGGGCCCACGCUCAGCAGGAAGGAUCUCAUCUCAAAAGCCUUACCGUAAUUACAUUUGCAAAGACUAUUUCCAAAUGAGGUGGUGAGGUCACCUUCACCAGUCCAGGGGGUCAGGACACAGUGGGGAGCAGGGGAGAGACAGGUCAACCCACUACAGGCAGUUCACCUCCGUUUGGGAGGAUUUGGGGUUGGGGAGCGAAUAGCAUCUGAGCUGGGCCUCGCAGGGAGAGGGAGGCUGGCCCUUAGCAUUUCAGCAGAGGCCCAAGAGGAGUGAGGGCUCAGAGGCACAAAAGCACUGUGCCACACAGAGGACCAGCCGCAUCAGAGGGACUGGACGUUCCGUGUGACUGUCCCUUCCUUGCUCUUCCACAAGUUACCUCCAUCACGACCACUGCCACUGCAGUGACGCAACACUGAGUUCAGCCACAUGACAGAAAUGCUGAGCCGGGAACGCCCUGCUGCAUUCCCACAGCUGGGCCUGGCCCUGAAUUGCUUUGCUCCGGUUCCUUUACAAACGUGUGUGCUCCAAGCAUCCAGAGAAACCGGGGUGACCGGUCCCUGUACCUCAACUUUGUGUGGCACCUUGAGCGUGAAAAGGGAUUGUUUUUCUUAUGGAAAUAAACCCUGGUAUC